ACGCUAGCUACAGGCUUAACACAUGCAAGUCGAGGGGAAACGGCAUUUAGUGCUUGCACUGAAUGGACGUCGACCGGCGCACGGGUGAGUAACGCGUAUCCAACCUUCCCAUUACUUUGGGAUAACCUGCCGAAAGGCAGACUAAUACCUCAUAGUCUUCGAUGACGGCAUCAGAUUUGAAGUAAAGAUUUAUCGGUAAUGGAUGGGGAUGCGUCUGAUUAGCUUGUUGGCGGGGUAACGGCCCACCAAGGCAACGAUCAGUAGGGGUUCUGAGAGGAAGGUCCCCCACAUUGGAACUGAGACACGGUCCAAACUCCUACGGGAGGCAGCAGUGAGGAAUAUUGGUCAAUGGACGUAGGUCUGAACCAGCCAAGUAGCGUGCAGGAUGACGGCCCUAUGGGUUGUAAACUGCUUUUGUAUGGGGAUAAAGUCAAUCACGUGUGAUUGUUUGCAGGUACCAUACGAAUAAGGACCGGCUAAUUCCGUGCCAGCAGCCGCGGUAAUACGGAAGGUUCGGGCGUUAUCCGGAUUUAUUGGGUUUAAAGGGAGCGUAGGCCGGAGAUUAAGUGUGUUGUGAAAUGUAGACGCUCAACGUCUGAAUUGCAGCGCAUACUGGUUUCCUUGAGUACGCACAACGUUGGCGGAAUUCGUCGUGUAGCGGUGAAAUGCUUAGAUAUGACGAAGAACUCCGAUUGCGAAGGCAGCUGACGGGAGCGCAACUGACGCUGAAGCUCGAAGGUGCGGGUAUCGAACAGGAUUAGAUACCCUGGUAGUCCGCACAGUAAACGAUGGAUGCCCGCUGUUGGUACCUAGUAUCAGCGGCUAAGCGAAAGCAUUAAGCAUCCCACCUGGGGAGUACGCCGGCAACGGUGAAACUCAAAGGAAUUGACGGGGGCCCGCACAAGCGG
rnacentral:rRNA from 1 species